GUAAAUCGUUUAUCUUUUGGAGAGUUUACUACCGCUUGAAGUCUAACCAGACUAUUGGUAUACUUCUCUUGCUUCUAGCAUUAACGAUGCCUGGGUAGUCUCCUCAAUAGGUCAUGUUCGUUAUAUCCCUUGUGUUUUCCCUGUACAUAUGUUUUCUACAAUUACCUGUCAAUUCUACUGUCAUUGCUAUUUGUGACCUGUUUAUUUUUCACUUAUUUUGUCAAAUUUCAAUAAAAAAAACGAUUGAAAGAAAAAAUGCUUUGGAAUGAACUCAAGGGAAUAUAGGAAGAAAAGGAUCCAGACACUAAAGGGGUUAACUGAAAUGUGAUCCGGAUUGAUAAGAUGUAGAACAAGGCCUGUCGAGGACUGCACUCCCUAUCAUCUCCCCAAGGUGGUGAUAUCACUUAUAUUGAGAGGAACACGCACUGGAAGUCUCAAUGCUCCCUUCUGACAGGAAGUGAUGUCAGGUAUAAAUAGGAAUUUCCGGGUGAGAGGCGAGUCUUGAGGAAGUAGUGAGGCGACGUUGCUGGGACAGACGAGGAGGUAAUAGGAUAUUAAAGAGUUUAUGACCUUCGAAGAGGAGCGUCCUGUACAGAUGUCAUGACCACCUCAUUGAUGAUGGACAAUGACUGGAGUCAUAGUAUGGAGAACAUAAUGAACCUCACCCUGGAGAUCAUCUACCAGCUGACCGGAGAGAGAUUUCCUCUUGUGAAGUCAGGAGAUCACAUGACCA